GGCAGCUGCUAGGGACGCGCGCCCCGCGCGCCUUGGCAACGCCCCCCUCUGCGCGCAGCGGGGACAGCAAGCCCCACCCAGGGCCCACCCAGCCGCGCUCCCGGCGGUUCCCAGGUCCCGGCACCCGCCCUGUCGCAGCUUCUGCUCCCGCUGCUGCUGCUGCUACCCGAAGGCGAGGCCACCCGAAGUCCCCGAGACUCCGGUGGGCUCGGGGGAUGGAGCGGCUAAGACUGCGGACGGCGCCUCCUCCAUCCCUUGAUGGACUAAGACGCACCCGCAGUGUGGGUUGAAGACUGUGAGUGCUUCAUUUGUAACGCUUAGGAUUUGGUGAGUCAAGUCGGCGAUCUCAAGCUUCAGGAUGUUCACCAACUAAAGCUCAUCCUCGGGUUUAGGAAAGAUUUGGGUAUUAUCAACUAGGCAAUUAUUUGGAAAGAAAAAAUGAAAAUCAGGUUUUUCUUUUGUGGUACACUAUCUGGUAUCUUGAAGAAGUUGAAAGAACAAUAAACUUGGAUCAUAAUGGAAAUUCUUGCUUUAUCUCAGCCUCUGCCAAAUAAUUUUGCCUCCAUCGGUCAGCUGGGCAGAUUUUUCUGCCAACGAGAUUCUAAGAAGCUAACGAGAGAUUAACCGAAGCCACUCAGUGUAGUGAGAAGCGUCCCCCUGAAGAAAGGAUCAGAGGAAGUUAUGGAAAAGAGUGAGAUUUAGAGCCAGCUCUGGAAGAUGGAGAGAAGUUCACCGAGAAGAGAAGAUGGAACAGAAUGGACAGUAGCAAAGAGGAAUGAAAUUGCAUGGAGAGGCAGGGAAUGAUGAAUGCUAGUCCUGCGUGACUGUAGGCUGUUCAGGGAAUCAGAGACAAGACUGAAAAGAUAGUCCUGGAUUCAGCUGUGAUAGAUCUUAUAUCUCUGGCUAAAGACGUCGAUCAUUAUUUUGUAGGCAAUGGGGAAGCAGCAAAAAGCUGUAA